rnacentral:rRNA from 1 species
UGAGGAAUAUUGGGCAAUGGGGCGAAAGCCUGACCCAGCAACGCCGCGUGAAGGAAGACGGUUUUCGGAUUGUAAACUUCUUUUAAGAGGGACGAUAAUGACGGUACCUCAUGAAUAAGCCACGGCUAACUACGUGCCAGCAGCCGCGGUAAUACGUAGGUGGCAAGCGUUAUCCGGAUUUACUGGGUGUAAAGGGCGCGUAGGCGGGGAUGCAAGUCAGAUGUGAAAUCUAUGGGCUUAACCCAUAAACUGCAUUUGAAACUGUAUCUCUUGAGUGCUGGAGAGGUAGAUGGGAAUUCCUUGUGUAGCGGUGAAAUGCGUGGAUAUAAGGAGAACACCAGUGGCGAAGGCGAUCUACUGGACAGUAACUGACGCUGAGGCGCGAGAGCGUGGGGAGCAAACAGGAUUAGAUACCCUGGUAU